AGGUCCCCUUAAUUUUUGGGGUCCCCCCUCCCUUUUCGGGGUGUCCCCCUCAAUCCCUUUUGGGGUCCCAAUUUUGGGGACCCUCCCACUUUUGGGGUCCCUCCCCCCAAUUUUUUGGGGUUCCCCCCCCCCAAUUUCAGGCUCUUUUCCCUCUCUGGGUCCCCCCCGAUUUUUGGGGUCCCCCCAAAUUUUUGGGAUCCCCCCAAUUUUGGGGACCCAUCAACUUUUGGGAUCCCUCAAUUUUGGGGUCCCCCCAUUUUUGGGGUCCCCCCCAAUUUCAGGGUCUUUUCCCUCUCUGGAUUCCCCCCCAAAUUUUUGGGGUCCCUCCCACUUUUGGGGUCCCAAUUUUUGGGGUUCCCCCCGAUUUUUGAGGUCCCUCCAAUUUCAGGGACCCCCCCAAAUUUCAGACUCCCCCAAUUUUGGGGUCCCUCAACAAUUUUUGGGGUUCCCUCCCACUUUUGGGGUCCCCCCCUAAUUUUUGGGGUCUCUCCCAGAUUUUGGGGUCCCCCCCCCAAUUUUCGGGGUCUCUCCUAAUUUUUGGGGUCCCAAUUUUUGGGGUCUCUCCCUUUUUUGAGGUCCCCCCUAAUUUUUGGGGUCUCUCCCAGAUUUUGGGUUCCCAUUUUUUGGGGUCCCCCCCCUAAUUUUCGGGGUCUCUCCUAAUUUUUGGGGUCCAAAUUUUUGGGGUCCCCCCCAUUUUUUGGGGUCCCAAAUUUUGGAAUCUCUCCCAAUUUUUGGGGUCCCCAUUUUUUGAGGUCCCAUUUUUUGGGGUCCCCCCCAAUUUUUGGGGUCUCUCCUAAUUUUUGGGGUCCCAAUUUUGGGCCCCUCUCAAUUUUUUGAAGUCCCAAUUUUUGGGGUUCCCCCCCAAUUUUUGGGGUCUCCCCCCCCCGUGGCAGUGACGGGUUUUUGGGGUCUCCC
rnacentral:lncRNA from 1 species